UACGAAGGGGACUAGCGUUGUUCGGAAUCACUGGGCGUAAAGCGCGUGUAGGCGGCUCGAUAAGUCUGCUGUGAAAGUCCAGGCUCAACCCUGGGAUGCCGGUGGAUACUGUCGAGCUCGAGUCCGGAAGAGGCGAGUGGAAUUCCUGGUGUAGCGGUGAAAUGCGCAGAUAUCAGGAGGAACACCAAUGGCGAAGGCAGCUCGCUGGGACGUGACUGACGCUGAGACGCGAAAGCGUGGGGAGCAAACAGG
rnacentral:rRNA from 1 species